UUCGUAGGUGGCCUACUAAGUCAGACGUGAAAUCCCUCAGCUCAACUGGGGAACUGCGUCUGAGACUGGAAGGCUUGAGUGCAGGAGAGGAACGCGGAAUUCCAGGUGUAGCGGUGAAAUGCGUAGAUAUCUGGAGGAACACCGGUGGCGAAGGCGGCGUUCUGGACUGUUACUGACACUGAGGAACGAAAGCCGGGGGAGACGAAAC
rnacentral:rRNA from 1 species